GUCUACGGCCAUACCACCCUGAACGCGCCCGAUCUCGUCUGAUCUCGGAAGCUAAGCAGGGUCGGGCCUGGUUAGUACUUGGAUGGGAGACCGCACUAGGGAAUACCGGGUGCUGUAGGCU
rnacentral:rRNA from 1 species